CCCUUAGAGUUUGAUCCUGGCUCAAGAUGAACUCUGGCGGCGCGCCUAACACAUGCAAGUCGAACGAGUGAGAGAGAGCUUGCUUUCUCAAGCGAGUGGCGAACGGGUGAGUAACGCGUGAGGAACCUGCCUCAAAGAGGGGGACAACAGUUGGAAACGACUGCUAAUACCGCAUAAGCCCACGGGUCGGCAUCGACCAGAGGGAAAAGGAGCAAUCCGCUUUGAGAUGGCCUCGCGUCCGAUUAGCUAGUUGGAGAGGUAACGGCCCACCAAGGCAACGAUCGGUAGCCGGACUGAGAGGUUGAACGGCCACAUUGGGACUGAGACACGGCCCAGACUCCUCCGGGAGGCAGCAGUGGGGAAUAUUGCACAAUGGGGGAAACCCUGAUGCAGCGACGCCGCGUGGAGGAAGAAGGUCUUCGGAUUGUAAACUCCUGUUGUUGAGGAAGAUAAUGACGGUACUCAACAAGGAAGUGACGGCUAACUACGUGCCAGCAGCCGCGGUAAAACGUAGGUCACAAGCGUUGUCCGGAAUUACUGGGUGUAAAGGGAGCGCAGGCGGGAAGACAAGUUGGAAGUGAAAUCUAUGGGCUCAACCCAUAAACUGCUUUCAAAACUGUUUUUCUUGAGUAGUGCAGAGGUAGGCGGAAUUCCCGGUGUAGCGGUGGAAUGCGUAGAUAUCGGGAGGAACACCAGUGGCGAAGGCGGCCUACUGGGCACCAACUGACGCUGAGGCUCGAAAGUGUGGGUAGCAAACAGGAUUAGAUACCCUGGUAGUCCACACCGUAAACGAUGAUUACUAGGUGUUGGAGGAUUGACCCCUUCAGUGCCGCAGUUAACACAAUAAGUAAUCCACCUGGGGAGUACGACCGCAAGGUUGAAACUCAAAGGAAUUGACGGGGGCCCGCACAAGCAGUGGAGUAUGUGGUUUAAUUCGACGCAACGCGAAGAACCUUACCAAGUCUUGACAUCCCUUGACGAACAUAGAGAUAUGUUUUCUCUUCGGAGCAAGGAGACAGGUGGUGCAUGGUUGUCGUCAGCUCGUGUCGUGAGAUGUUGGGUUAAGUCCCGCAACGAGCGCAACCCUUACUGUCAGUUACUACGCAAGAGGACUCUGGCAGGACUGCCGUUGACAAAACGGAGGAAGGUGGGGAUGACGUCAAAUCAUCAUGCCCUUUAUGACUUGGGCUACACACGUACUACAAUGGCGUUAAACAAAGAGAAGCAAGACCGCGAGGUGGAGCAAAACUCAGAAACAACGUCCCAGUUCGGACUGCAGGCUGCAACUCGCCUGCACGAAGUCGGAAUUGCUAGUAAUCGUGGAUCAGCAUGCCACGGUGAAUACGUUCCCGGGCCUUGUACU
rnacentral:rRNA from 1 species